UGCACUACGAUUCAGAAGAUGGAGAGACUUCUCAAUCUGAUGAAUAGCAUUAUUUACUCAUGGGUGAGCCCCUGCACCAUAGAUUUAGCAAUGGACAUGAGCAUUGCCAUUCUGUGUGGAGCUGGGCUCUAUUUCCUACUGACCCCCUUCCUGAAGAACCUCCCUGUGUCAACAUGUGAAAGUGAAAUGGACAUCACAGAGGAUGUGAAGAGGAGGCAGAGAAAGACCAAGAAGAAAACUGCUACUCUAAAAGGUUGCAGAGAAGAUGAAAAGAAUGUGGAAGAGACCAAGACUCCAUCACAACCUAUGAACAUCGAGCAACUUCUCCAGGACUCCACACCACAUCCCUGGUGGAACCCUCUUCAGAAAAUGGAUCACCUUCCUCUCUUUCGGGUGUUGUCUUAUCUCAAGUUCUUGGAGUAUCUUAUACACAAGGAAUUUAGUCACAUUUUCUGGGGCAUAUCCACUCUGUUCUCUGAGUCAGUCGUGGCUACUGCCCACGCCGUCAGAAGCCCUUCCUUAGCAGAACAAAAAACCGUGAGGUUUCGUGAUGCCUAUCGCAGUGGCCAAGCUCCUUCCCAGGCUCAAGGACCUCCAGAGUGUUCCCAAGAACAGCCAUUGCCUGCACAACUUGUGACACCAAGCUUGUUAGCUAUGACAAAGGCCCAACUAAUGCAAAUCUUUCCAAGCUCUACACCAAUCAAAACACCUCCUUGUUUCAAGAGGCAGGCCUUUGGAAAAGCACGUCCUACCAGUGAUAAAGGUAUACAGGUAUCCCUAUCAACGGAAAACAAUGCCUGGCAACAUGGACAGUAUUGGAACCCCACCGAAGGUGAUGAUAUCCAAAAACAUCAGGCAGCCUUGAUGAAACCCACUCAAAACUUAACCCUACACAGUGAGGCUGUCAGGUCAGGCUCCAUCCCUUGGGAGCAUGGGCAGAUGGCCCACAAGAAUGAGGGGCCACAGAAUGAAGGAAAGGAAAGUAAUAUUGAACAAGAACAAGGAACCCCCAUCACAUUCCUCCCAUCCUGGAGGCUGGCCCAGCUUCAGGGAAAUUUUCCAACAUACAGUUAUUAUUGCAAGAGCAGGCCUCUACUCUGCCAAUCUGUCCAGUCCUCCAUCCUUGACCACAAAAGGUACACGUGGAUCAAAAUGACGGGGACUAAGCCCAUGGAGGUCCCCUUAAGGGAGAUCAUAGAAAAGAGUGAAAAACAUACCACCAUCAAGAAGGGCAUUGGUCUGGGGAGCAAGUACCUGCCUUGCGCUUCAGGCAGCACCCAUAGAAAGUGGCUAAAUCCUAGGAUUCCCACACUAAGGUCAGACGAGCUGUCUGACAUGAACUCUACUGAUGAUGAUUCUCUGCAUGACUCAAACACUGAAAGGAAGCUGGCAUUAGAUAUCACAGAACUUCCAGUCAAACGUAGAAGGAAACCAUAUCUGCAGAUCCUUGAGGCAAGGGAUCUCACCCCACCUGGGAGUCUAGCCUCAAACAUUCCCCAGGUUGUGUUUCCCUCCUCCCCCAUCUUUGAUUCCAAGGAGGAGUACUACUCCAAGGCUGCCAUGAUCCUGGAAAAUUUGCAUCACCAGGACCCAGGAGGGACAAGGGUAGAAAGUGCGUCAGCUGCCAGGCUAGAGAGUGCUCUGUGUAUGCACUCAGCUGCAGAGGUGCAGGAGAACCAAAGAGCCCCUCAACCUGAUGCCAGCCAUGGGCCCUCAAAAGCUCAUCCAGAUCCACUGAAGAGACACCUGAGUAGUCAGCAACCUGAUUUCUGCCUCCAGGCUCAACCCCAGCAGAACCGGACCAUCCAAGGAAGUGAAACAGGCAGUCUCCAACAAAAUACAAGCACAAAAAUUGACAAGUAUCUACCAUGGAAGGGGUUUCAGUAUGUGGACUCAUCUCAACCCUGCUGUCGUGUGAUAGUGCUUGGUCAGGAUGAAACCGGCCCACCCUCAGCAGCCAAACCAAGCAACAGAGUGGAGGUGAAAGAAGAGCCAUCUGCAUGGACAGUGAGUCUGGGAUCCAGUGAGAGUCACGAUGGCCAAGCUAUCGGUAUCAGUGCCAGGGACAUUGCAUCUUUACAGCCCAACAAACAUCCUGGUCAUCUGCAAACACCUACCCUACAGCCCUCAGAGGACUCAGUACAAAAACCACAAUCACACAGUAAGAUAGACCUGAAAUCAAAGGAGCAGGCACAGCCCUGGCCUGUGAGACACGAUCCAGAUGUCCCCAGUACAGUACACCCUGCCAAGGUCAGCUUGCCUUCAAAACACUGGAUGCAUAGCUUCCAGAAUACAUGCCAAAACCCUGUAAAUACCCUGGGUUUAGAUGAUGUUUCCAUGAGGAGACAUGACAGGGUAGAAACUGGAGAGAUAUAUGUCCCAGAGGAAAAACUCGAAGUGAAAGAUUUCAAGGGGUCCCAUCCCCAUGAAGAGAAGCAGAUUACUAUAAGACCUAGGGCCAUAAGCCAGGGAGAAAGGCUCGGGAGAGUAAGUCCUUCCAUCCCAAGCUCCACCCAGAUCAAGGACACAACCAAGACUUGGAUACCAGGGAAAGGGGAGGUUACUUCGAAGAGUUCUUGGAAUAAAAUCUCAAAGACUGCUUCAAAAUAUGGAAAGGUCAGCAAAAAAUACUUAGGGCAAGGGGAUUCCUUAGAGAAUGUUCUCCAAACAUCAGGUACUGAGCAAAUACAGGAAGCUGUAACAAAAAACAAGGUCCUCUACAAUACAGUAACUCAAAUACAAUCACUUGUGAAUGCUCUGGCCCAGAUCCUAGAAAACACUGAAGAGUACCGAUCAAAGGUACUAGGGUGUAAAGUGGAAUCCCUGACAUCCCAGCUGGAUGACCCAUCCCACACUCCUGUGGGUAUGCAUGAUACAAUCCACAGCAGAGCAGUAAACAGACUGAGCUGUGGCCAUGUCAGCCCUGAGGUCAAUAAUUAUCCCUUCACAUAUAUGGGGAUUGAAGACCAACUACAGUCAGGGAUUGACGCCCAGAGAGCCUGUGAUCAAGAUCUGAACCAAGGAGGGACAGCGAUCGGUUUUGACCAGCUCCCCAUGCCCGAGGGGAAUGACCUUCCUUCCGAGUACAGGGGAAUUGGAGACAAGCAGGAGUCAGAUCUUGCUGACCAGAGAGCCUAUGACCCAGAUAAAAUCACAGCAAAUGUUGGAAUGGGCUGCUGGCCACAUAGCAGCCUCGAGGGGCACAACCAUUCCUUCGGACACAGAGAAAUUGAAGGCAAACAGCUGCCAGGCAUUACCCAUAAAGCCUUUGACCCUCAUCAAAGUACAAAGAAAGGAACCGGUCAUGACUGCUUUCUGCGUCCCAAGAAGAACCAUCCAGUCAAGCACAGGGCAAAUGACUGCCUAAGGACUUCAGUUGCUGCCCAGCAAGCCUCUGACACCACGUAGACCUCACCAUGACAGGGCAAAGAGCAGGUGGCAUGGGCCAUCCUUGCCUUCACAGCAGGAUUUCUAGAUGUUGUCCCAUCUGCCCAGCUAUUGUAUCCCCCAUGCCUCCUGGUCAUAAACUUGGUUUUAUCCCUGCAAAGGAAGGUGUUUCUUUCUGGAG
rnacentral:lncRNA from 14 species